AUCUUUUUGUAGUUCACAAGCAUGACUGGGUUUUCAUGCACAUGCGUGAGAUGUGCCUCCCUCAAUCUUUGUUAAGACGUCGGCACAUAACCCAUCUGACA